CGUGAGUGGCGGACGGGUGAGUAACGCGUGGGUAACCUGCCUCAUACAGGGGGAUAACAGUUAGAAAUGACUGCUAAUACCGCAUAAGACCACAGUACCGCAUGGUACAGGGGUAAAAACUCCGGUGGUAUGAGAUGGACCCGCGUCUGAUUAGCUAGUUGGUAAGGUAACGGCUUACCAAGGCGACGAUCAGUAGCCGACCUGAGAGGGUGACCGGCCACAUUGGGACUGAGACACGGCCCAA
rnacentral:rRNA from 1 species